AAUGAUGAUACUACCUUACUAUAAGUGUUGUCCAAAUCUGGUGCCAGAAGACUCGGUAAGGCCAGAGACGCGAACGUUAGUCAUCUUAAACAGGCGUAAAGGGUUAGUAGGCUACUUUAAAAUCCUCAUAUUACAAAANAGCAAAGUAAUAUUGUGGAAAGUAGAAGAUAGAAUCUAGAAUAGGAAAAAAGAAAAUCGAGAUUAGGGUUAGAAUCUGCAGUAACCUCGAUAGAAUACUAAAGGCGAAGGCCUUUUUCCAAUAAAGAUUGACGCUGAGGAACGAAGGAUGGAUAAGAAUCAGGAUUAGAUACCCUGGUACCCCUUUCUGUCAACGAUGAAUGGUAGUCACUAAAAAAUAAUUAGUGUCAAUGUUAACACGUUAACCAUUCCGCCUUGUGAGUACGAUUG
rnacentral:rRNA from 1 species